rnacentral:rRNA from 1 species
GACAGAGGAUGCAAGCGUUAUCCGGAAUGAUUGGGCGUAAAGCGUCUGUAGGUGGCUUUUCAAGUCCGCCGUCAAAUCCCAGGGCUCAACCCUGGACAGGCGGUGGAAACUGCCAAGCUGGAGUACGGUAGGGGCAGAGGGAAUUUCCGGUGGAGCGGUGAAAUGCGUAGAUAUCGGGAGGAACACCAGUGGCGAAGGCGGAGACCUGGGCCGAUACUGACGCUGAGGUGCGAAAGCGUGGGGAGCAAACAGG